UAUUCCUACGGGACGCAGCAGUGGGGAAUAUUGGACAAUGGGGGGAACCCUGAUCCAGCGACGCCGCGUGAGUGAAGAAGUAUUUCGGUAUGUAAAGCUCUAUCAGCAGGGAAGAAAGAAAUGACGGUACCUGACUAAGAAGCCCCGGCUAACUACGCGCCAGCAGCCGCGGUAAUACGUAGGGGGCAAGCGUUAUCCGGAUUUACUGGGUGUAAAGGGAGCGCAGACGGCAGUGCAAGUCUGGAGUGAAAGCCCGGGGCCCAACCCCGGAACUGCUCUGGAAACUGUGCGGCUAGAGUACUGGG
rnacentral:rRNA from 1 species